AGAAAAAGAAGCGUUUUCUAUAGAAUUGUUCCCAAACAGGCCCUUAUACAUUCUCGCCUGUAAUUUAUUUUCCUUUUUGUCUUUUUAUUUUUUAUUUUUUAUUUUUUCGUUAGAAAUAGUGUUUGGUGGUGUGGUGGUUUUGUGAGAAUGGAGAAAAAAAUGGCAGCUGAUGCUGCUAGGGCUUGUGAGACACACACUCAGACACUGCAAUGGAUCUACGCCAUCAUCGAUUUCCUUCGUCCUUACUCUUUCUUAAUGAGCGCUCAUGUCGUCAACUUCUUCCAGGAUAGACAAUGGGAAGCAGUUGACAAGGAAUGGAUUGAGUGCUUACGCAAAGAACCAGUCGAGAAUCUUGUUCAAAUUCCUUCUGGAGUAGUUCAGGAUCACUGGCCUGCUUCGCUUAAGGAAUUUGUUGUUACUUCGAGGUCUUUGGCACUUCCUCGAGAACAAACAGACUUACACAAGGCCUUACCUGGCUUGAACUUGUGUUCACUUAAUAGUGUACUUUCCCAGGGCAUGAAUGUGAAGAAAAAGCAUGAAGUAGAAGUUCUAUCCGCUGUGGUCAGUUUGAUUACAAACAACGUUGGGGCCCACACAGUAAUUGAUGUUGGUGCCGGUCAGGGUUAUCUUGCACAAGUUCUUUCUUUCCACUACCGGCAUCGUGUAAUUGCAAUUGAUGCUUGUUCUCAUCAUGGAAGAGUUACAGAUGCACGUGCUGAACGAAUCAAGAAGUAUUAUGCUGCUCAGAUGCGUAAAUCUGAAUCAGGAAAGAGAAAUUUAAUUAUUCCUAAGACAAUCACGUGCCAUGUUAUUUCUAAGGAGAUGUUGAAAGCCUUGGCUUACACAGCAGUGCAUGAAGAUAAUGUUAUUGAACAAGAACAAAAUUAUGCCAAUUUUGAUGCAAAUCUGGAACAAUCUUCAUGCAAUGCAGACAAUGAAGCUUCAUUGGUUCUUGCUGGGCUUCAUGCUUGUGGAGAUCUUUCAGUAAUGAUGCUCAAGACCUUUCUUGAUUGCAAAGAAGUGAAAGCAGUUAUUAGCAUCGGAUGCUGUUACAACCUAUUAUCUGAAGAAGGUUUUAACGAUGUUAGUUUACAGUGUGGUUUUCCAAUGAGUCUUGGUGUCAAAUCAGCAUCCUUUUCACUUGGGAAAAGUUUGCUUGAUCUUGCAUGCCAGAGUGCAGAGAGGUGGAGAUGCAUGGAAAAUGAUUCUGGUGUGCAUAACUUUUGGUUGCAUGCUUUCCGUGCUGCUUUUCAGAUGUUUCUGACUAGAUUUUAUCCGGAAGUCAUUACAAGAAGUCCAUCAAUUGGCCGUCAAGGGAAGGCUUUGCGUCGCCGACAGCAAAGGGUGACCCUGGACUCCCUGCUGCAUGAAAAGGAAAGAAUUUGCCCGAGGUCCAAUAUGAAUGGAAAUUUCCCUACUGUAAAACCAAAAGUGGAGACAGAUGACAGCCCGAGCUCAGCAUUUGAGACAGCAGCCUUAUCUCAUGAACAUUUUCAUAUUGGUUCCAGAUGUGAAGAGGCCAAACCUGUUGACCGAUAUCCGCUUUUUGAGAAGUAUUGCCAGUCUGGAUUAUGUCAUCUUGGUCUUGAGCCUUUGCAAGAUACAGAUUUUCAGGAAAUAUGGAAUGAAGUUGAGCCUUUUUCUGAACUCAUUGGACCCUAUUGGUCUCUUCGAGCUGCUCUGGGGCCUGUUUUAGAAACUUUAAUUUUGCUUGAUAGAUUGCUGUUCCUCCAAGAGCAAGGCAGUUCAAUUGAAGCAGUGAUCUUGCCAAUUUUUGAUCCUGCUUUAUCCCCUAGAAAUGUGGCUAUUAUUGCUGAAAAGCAUUGACACGGAUGUGAUCGCUGCACAAUAAUGUGUUGCUUUCUUAUGUUAUUUGGACUCAGCAUUGCUUUCUUUUGGACAAUGAAUCCAGCUAUUUUUUGAGAUGCCAAGGGUUCAAUUAAUUAGUUGGGUAGUGACAUUCCCAUUGAAUUUUCAGAUUAAUGUGGACGAUUUUUGGAGAAGACAUGAAAAGUAGCCAUCAUUCAAAAGAGGAUUUAUUCAGUUUUGGAUAUGCACCAUCACUCUCAUGACUUGUUGAAAGGUAUAUUCCAAGCUAUUAAUUUUUUCCUUGUAAAAUGACAUCACUGGUCAAUAGAUGCUGCUCUCAUCACUAUCAGACUUAUUUCUAUAUACAGUCUUGUGAAAUUAUUUGCUUUUUCUCUUUAAUUUACCUAAAAAAAAAAAAAACGCAAUAACUUUUCAAAGCUAUUUGAAAUGCUUGCUUUACCUCUAAAGAUUUUCUUUCUUUAUGGAAAAGUUUGUACGGGGUUUUCAAUUAUUGGAGGUCCUAAAGAAGUUAGGUGGUGUUGAUGUCCUGAAAAACACUAGGACUGGUCAGUUUUAAUAAAGAAAAAAAGGCUCAGUUGUAUGGCAUUAAUAGAAAUAUAUAUAUAAGAUGGUGUUAAUUCAAGUUAUGUGUAUUUAUUUAUUUUUGUGUACAGCAGAUAGUAUUAUGUUUGUGCCUUUGGCCAGAAAUCAAAUUGUUUGGUAUGGAACAAAUUUGAAAUUCUGACUUUUGGAAUGUGCUAGAAACAAUCUUCCUUGUGAAAGUGUCCCUCUUUACCUAUGACGAAACCCUUAAAAUCUAUUUCAUACCCGGUCUUGAGUUUCAAUUAUGCACCCUUCGUAAUUAGGAUUGAAUCAAGAUUAAUUUUGAUGUUGCUGUCAUAUAUCAUUUUAGGGCUGUUUGAGAUUAUGGAGUACAUUGGAUUGGAUUGGCCCAGUUUAACGGUCCAAUCUAGUGUAGUCUUAAAUCCCAAACGGACCCUUUUAGUAUUUAUAGGAGGAACUACAAUGGAGAAAUCUUGGCAAUCGAAGCUGAAAUUUUUAAGGUGUCAAAUCAAGGGCAGCCAAAGUGUUUUCAAAUUUGUGUUGCAGGUUUGAGGGGACUCUUUUUAUGGUUAUUUUAGUUUUUAUCUAAUCCCUCUAUGGCUUCUCUUGGUAUGCAUUGUAAACAUUGUUGACACAGAGAUAUCUCUUGCUCAGUUAGCAGAGAAGAAAACCUUCUUCUAUGUGAGGUGAGGCAUACCAAAGAGCGGAACCUAGAUAGAACGCAAAAAAGAAAAAAGUAGCUCUUUGCUCAAUGGGAGUAUUGAUAUGCUCUGCUUUUUCCCCAUAGGUCUUAGUAACUUUACAACUCAAAAUGUUGCAAAAUAGACAUCUUUUUUGUUUUGUACAUUUCCACAAGCUUCUUUUAUA